UAGAACCCUUGGCCGCCGCCCCCUAAGUUUUUCCCCAUCAAUUUUCAAGCUUGGAAUUGAGAGAUCAAGGGGUGCUUGUCUGUUCCCUAGCCUCCUUUGCCGCCUCGUGACGUCGUGGUGGAGAGCAUGAGUCAGAGGCGGAGGGGCAGGAUUCUUGAGCGGAUUGUAUUGAAGCAAGGCACUCGACCCAGUGACCCCUACGUUUUCUGCAUGAUUUUCUUUUGGAGUGUUGAGGGAGGUUAAAAUAAAAAGACAUGUUUUCUUUUGCUUCUUUAUGGUUAUCGCAUUAGUUUGAGUUUGACUGGUUCUGCAUUGAGUUUAGAUACUUAUAAACUAAAUAAAUUAUUUUAUAGAUUGAUUUCAUUUUCUGUUAUGUAUUUUUGAAAAAAAACUAUUUAUUUAUUUUAAACUAGAGGGGUUUACAGUUGGUAUCAGCAUAGAGAUGGUGUAAGCGACUGUCAGAGAAUUAUAUUCAUCGCUUCAAGGAUUUCCACAAGGUAUUCUUGCAUCACUUUUCUAGUAAUCGGAGGUACCACAAAACUCCUUGGAGUCUGUUUUCCAUUAAGCAAGGCCCUAAAGAGUCAUCAGGGCUUAUAUUAAGAGAUUCAACCAGAUUGCUAUCGAUGUUCCAUCAGCCACCACGGAGAUCUUGAGGAGGCUCAAGCUGUCCGCAGAAAAGAUGUUAACACUUCUGCACCGGUUCCAGCAGUGGCUCAUUCGGGGGGACCUACUCAGCCCCCUAAAGGACCUCGAGCGGAUCCACACCAUCGUCAUCUCAAGCUUCGACCUCAAGCAGUACAGCAUGUAGAUGCUCUUGCACACUUCCUGCAACAAUGGUGCACUUAUCAUUUGACCAACACCCGCAACACAGAAAACUAUUUUACAUUGAAGAAUAGAUGAGUCAAAUUUGGAGAGGAAAUGAUGUUCAUGGUGAAUUUGAUCAACGAACAAAGGAAGUCAACGCCAUUCAUGUGUGCCACACGGCCAUGUGAAAGGAACAGGAAGGAAAAUGGUCUUGGUCGUUGGAGCAGACUGGGUGUGCAGCAUCAGCAGAAGAGGGGGAUGACACGGACGUGUGGUAUCACACGACCGUGUGACUUUUGAAGCAGAAUGAGAACAUGGUCGUGUAGAUCUACACGAUCGUGCAACCCUUCUAGAGGCCAAGCAUUGCCAGGUCAUGUGUGCCACAUGGUCGUGCAACCUUUCUAGAGACCAAGAUUGGUAGGACCGUGUGUGCCACACGACCGUGUGAGCCGUCCAGAUGUGAAGCAUGGCACGACCAUGUGAAUCUCACACGGCUAUGUGACUCUGGCCAAGAGGUAAGCAGUCGAGGUCGUGUGAGGUCCACACGGCCAUGACACGGGUCAUGUGGCGCCCAAACCCCCUGCUCUAUAUAAAGGGUUUCUCCCUCUUUGAAAGGGGGGCUCUCCCUUUGGGGAGAUCUAAUCUGAAGGUUUUCUCCAUCUUUUGGGUGUCAAUCCAGUGAUCUGAAGACGUUUCAAUUCUCGAUUUGACUCUAGUAGCAAGGAUUGGUUCCGAAGAUUACUCGUCAUCUCUAGAUAAGUAUUUCUUUUCUAUCUUCUUGAUUUGGAUCGAAAUGUUUACGA